AACGAACGCUGGCGGCAGGCCUAACACAUGCAAGUCGAACGCCGUAGCAAUACGGAGUGGCAGACGGGUGAGUAACGCGUGGGAACAUGCCCUUUGGUUCGGAAUAACUCAGGGAAACUUGAGCUAAUACCGGAUAAGCCCGAGAGGGGAAAGAUUUAUCGCCGAAGGAUUGGCCCGCGUCCGAUUAGCUAGUUGGUGAGGUAAUGGCUCACCAAGGCGACGAUCGGUAGCUGGUCUGAGAGGAUGAUCAGCCACACUGGGACUGAGACACGGCCCAGACUCCUACGGGAGGCAGCAGUGGGGAAUAUUGGACAAUGGGCGCAAGCCUGAUCCAGCCAUGCCGCGUGAGUGAUGAAGGCCCUAGGGUUGUAAAGGCUCUUUCGCCAGGGACGAUAAUGACGGUACCUGGAUAAGAAGCCCCGGCUAACUUCGUGCCAGCAGCCGCGGUAAU
rnacentral:rRNA from 1 species